GACGAACGCUGGCGGCGUGCUUAACACAUGCAAGUCGAACGGAAAGGCCCUGCUUUUGUGGGGUGCUCGAGUGGCGAACGGGUGAGUAACACGUGAGUAACCUGCCCUUGACUUUGGGAUAACUUCAGGAAACUGGGGCUAAUACCGGAUAGGAGCUCCUGCUGCAUGGUGGGGGUUGGAAAGUUUCGGCGGUUGGGGAUGGACUCGCGGCUUAUCAGCUUGUUGGUGGGGUAGUGGCUUACCAAGGCUUUGACGGGUAGCCGGCCUGAGAGGGUGACCGGCCACAUUGGGACUGAGAUACAGCCCAGACUCCUACGGGAGGCAGCAGUGGGGAAUAUUGCACAAUGGGCGGAAGCCUGAUGCAGCAACGCUGCGUGCGGGAUGACGGCCUUCGGGUUGUAAACCGCUUUCGCCUGUGACGAAGCGUGAGUGACGGUAAUGGGUAAAGAAGCACCGGCUAACUACGUG
rnacentral:rRNA from 1 species